rnacentral:rRNA from 1 species
GACGAACGCUGGCGGCGUGCUUAACACAUGCAAGUCGAACGGAAAGGCCCUGCUUUUGUGGGGUGCUCGAGUGGCGAACGGGUGAGUAACACGUGAGUAACCUGCCCUUGACUUUGGGAUAACUUCAGGAAACUGGGGCUAAUACCGGAUAGGAGCUCCUGCUGCAUGGUGGGGGUUGGAAAGUUUCGGCGGUUGGGGAUGGACUCGCGGCUUAUCAGCUUGUUGGGGGGGUAGUGGCUUACCAAGGCUUUGACGGGUAGCCGGCCUGAGAGGGUGACCGGCCACAUUGGGACUGAGAUACGGCCCAGACUCCUACGGGAGGCAGCAGUGGGGAAUAUUGCACAAUGGGCGGAAGCCUGAUGCAGCAACGCCGCGUGCGGGAUGACGGCUUUCGGGUUGUAAACCGCUUUCGCCUGUGACGAAGCGUGAGUGACGGUAAUGGAUAAAGAAGCACCGGCUAACUACGUG